AGAGUUUGAUCCUGGCUCAGGAUGAACGCUGGCGGCGUGCUUAACACAUGCAAGUCGAACGAUUAACCCAAACUUCGGUUUGGUUAUAAAGUGGCGAACGGGUGAGUAACACGUGACCAACCUGCCUUCUAGAUCGGGAUAACUCAAGGAAACUUGUGCUAAUACCGGAUACUCCGAUUUAAUCGCAUGAUAAUUUCGGGAAAGCUUUUGCGCUAGAAGAUGGGGUCGCGGCCUAUUAGGUAGUUGGUGGGGUAGAGGCCUACCAAGCCUGCGAUAGGUAGCCGGGUUGAGAGACUGAUCGGCCACAUUGGGACUGAGAUACGGCCCAGACUCCUACGGGAGGCAGCAGUGGGGAAUUUUGCGCAAUGGGGGCAACCCUGACGCAGCAACGCCGCGUGCGGGAUGAAGGUCUUCGGAUUGUAAACCGCUUUCAGUAGGGAAUAUUAUGAAGGUACCUACAGAAGAAGCACCGGCUAAAUACGUGCCAGCAGCCGCGGUAAUACGUAUGGUGCGAGCGUUAUCCGGAAUCAUUGGGCGUAAAGCGCGCGUAGGCGGCUUGUUAAGCAGGAAUUUAAAUCUUAGGGCUCAACCUUAAGUCGGUUCCUGAACUGGCAGGCUCGAGUGCGGUAGAGGAAGGUGGAAUUCCCAGUGUAGCGGUGAAAUGCGCAGAUAUUGGGAAGAACACCGAUGGCGAAGGCAGCCUUCUGGGCCGUCACUGACGCUGAGGCGCGAAAGCUGGGGGAGCGAACAGGAUUAGAUACCCUGGUAGUCCUAGCCGUAAACGAUGGGCACUAGGUGUGGGGAGGAAUACUUUCCGUGCCGCAGCUAACGCAUUAAGUGCCCCGCCUGGGGAGUACGGUCGCAAGACUAAAACUCAAAGGAAUUGACGGGGGCCCGCACAAGCAGCG
rnacentral:rRNA from 1 species